AGAAACUGUAAUGGUCAGUGCAUAGAUUCUCUUGAGUAUAAUGCUCAGAGGAAAGACACUCAUACAGGUUUGGAACAACUUGAGCAUGGGCCACUCAAAGGACUUCAAAACAGGCUUUUAACACUGCUCCUCCCAAGGCAAAGUUCAAUCCAGACAUGCGCCGUGGGAGAUGAGCAACAGUCUACCAGCAGUGGCUGGACCAAUGUAGAAAGGAACAGGGUAGAACAACAAAUAUUUGGCAGCCAUUCGCCCAUCCAAAGGCACACAAGAGCAGCCCCCAGUCGAAUUUUUGCUUUGCUGGUGGAGAGUGUCUCCACUAAUCAAACUGUUUUCACUGAGGUCAUCACAGACGUCAGAAGAGAGUGGUUUUGGCCAGUUCUUUCUCUCUAUUUCUUUCUCUCUGC
ensembl:lncRNA